rnacentral:tRNA from 1 species
UAGCUCAGCCGGAUAGAGCGUUUGACUACGAAUCAAAAGGUCGGGAGUUCGAAUCUCUC